GACGAACGCUGGCGGCGUGCUUAACACAUGCAAGUCGAACGGAAAGGCCCUGCUUUUGUGGGGUGCUCGAGUGGCGAACGGGUGAGUAACACGUGAGUAACCUGCCCUUGACUUUGGUAUAACUUCAGGAAACUGGGGCUAAUACCGGAUAGGAGCUCCUGCUGCAUGGUGGGGGUUGGAAAGUUUCGGCGGUUGGGGGUGGACUCGCGGUUUAUCAGCUUGUUGGUGGGGUAGUGGCUUACCAAGGCUUUGACGGUUAGCCGGCCUGAGAGGGUAACCGGCCUAAGUGGGACGGAGAUACGGCCCAGACUCGUACGGAGGGAAGAGGUGGGGAUCAUUGCCCAGGGGGGGGACGCGUGUGCCAGCACCGCCGGGGGCGGGAUGAAGGCCAUCGGGGUGUAAACCCCUUGAGCCUGUGACGAAGCGUGAGAGAAGGUAAUGGGUAAAGAAGCACCGGCUAACUACGUG
rnacentral:rRNA from 1 species